UGAGUGGGAGCGAGGCAACGGGGCCAUAGACUUCUCCCGUUUCACGAGCAGUCUCUAUGGAAUUAACUCCUGGAGCGGACAGUCACGAGCCACCCCUGCUCCAGCUGGACCCGUGGUGCACACAGCUUAGGUCAGCUCAGCUGCUGGGACUUAGCAAGUGGCCCAGAGCCUUCUGGGGGACUGUGACCCACCCAGCGUCUCUAGCAUACUCUCAGAUUAGCAGUUCGUGUGAUCUUCCAGGGGAAGGACUUGGGGGUACAGGAAGGACCCAGAGACCGCAGCGGAGGAGGAAAAGGAAAAGGCAGUCAGGGCACCAUGUGCCACCACUUGAAGGUGAACGGCUUCCUGCGGACAUUGGUGCCACAGUGAACCUCUCCCAGGAACUUGUGGGAUCAUGGAGGGAUAGUCAGAGGUCAGCCCCAGUGAGGCGUUGGCUCAGCUUCAGCGGGUCCUGCUUCAGAGAGUGGCUGGGUUGUACCAACUUCUCUGACCUUCAGCCAUGAGGGUACCUGCACAUACCGACCAACAGAGCUAGCACAGCUGGAGCUCUGAUCAGCCUGUGCCUGAAGUCCACACAACCAUAGGACUUUGAACAAAUUCUGCCCAGCCCUGACCAAGGCCCUGUGUUGAGACUCCUGCCCACUUCCCUCACUUCUGCUGCCUGACUCAGUGGCCCACUGUGACCCACAACCUGACAGCAAGGUCAGGACAGAUUCUAAAGAUAAAGCCCGCCCUGUCUAGGCAAACAACUCCGGGAGAGAGAAACUUGGGGUUUGCACGCAACCCAAGUUAAGUUGCACCUAACUUUUCCCUCCCCUCCCCUUUUAUAUAAACCCCAAGAACCCCUCCCCCUUCCACAGACACCCCUUUCUUGCUGUGUCUGCCCCUCCCUGUUUUAAAUAAACAGUCCAGUCUGUUGAGGUC
rnacentral:lncRNA from 1 species